UACGUAGGGUGCAAGCGUUGUCCGGAAUUAUUGGGCGUAAAGAGCUCGUAGGCGGUUUGUCGCGUCGAAUGUGAAAACUCGGGGCUCAACUCCGAGCUUGCAGUCGAUACGGGCAGGCUAGAGUUCGGCAGGGGGAGACUGGAAUUCCUGGUGUAGCGGUGAAAUGCGCAGAUAUCAGGAGGAACACCGGUGGCGAAGGCGGGUCUCUGGGCCGAUACUGACGCUGAGGAGCGAAAGCGUGGGGAGCGAACAGG
rnacentral:rRNA from 1 species